UGGGGAAUUUUGGACAAUGGGGGAAACCCUGAUCCAGCCAUCCCGCGUGUGCGAUGAAGGCCUUCGGGUUGUAAAGCACUUUUGGCAGGAAAGAAACGUCGCGGGUUAAUACCCCGCGAAACUGACGGUACCUGCAGAAUAAGCACCGGCUAACUACGUGCCAGCAGCCGCGGUAAUACGUAGGGUGCAAGCGUUAAUCGGAAUUACUGGGCGUAAAGCGUGCGCAGGCGGUUCGGAAAGAAAGAUGUGAAAUCCCAGAGCUUAACUUUGGAACUGCAUUUUUAACUACCGGGCUAGAGUGUGUCAGAGGGAGGUGGAAUUCCGCGUGUAGCAGUGAAAUGCGUAGAUAUGCGGAGGAACACCGAUGGCGAAGGCAGCCUCCUGGGAUAACACUGACGCUCAUGCACGAAAGCGUGGGGAGCAAACAGGAUUAGAUACCCUGGUAGUCCACGCCCUAAACGAUGUCAACUAGCUGUUGGGGCCUUCGGGCCUUGGUAGCGCAGCUAACGCGUGAAGUUGACCGCCUGGGGAGUACGGCCGCAAGAUU
rnacentral:rRNA from 1 species